rnacentral:lncRNA from 1 species
CUACUGUACGUCACUUUGGACAAAAGAGUCUGCUAAAUGGCAUAUAAAGAUUUAUUAUUACAUUGGUACGAGACAACCAGUAAACUUCAGUUUUUAAAUAAGAGAAAAUGGCUCAGAUCAGGCACUGAGUGUGUGUGUUGGAUCAAUACAGUGGGGCCAUUGGAAGAGGAGUGCUUGGCUUGACAGGAGGGUUCAGCCUUGGAGUGGAUGGAAUGGGGAGGGAACUCGUGGGCUCAUGGUCUAGUAAGAGCAACGUGGGAUAAAAGCACUCCCAGACUGAGCAUAGUAGGUGUGAGGGAAAGAGGGCCAGAGCAAGCCCGCUCCUGUGAAGGUAUCACAGACCCGUGUUUCGUAGCAAGGGCUAAGUGGUACGGAGGUGUCAAAAGGCCAGGGACCGUGACUUAAGGUGACCCGGAACUCUCUGACAAUGAGGGACCCCCAUUUGCUAUGGUAACGAGUGGUGGUGGAUGAACCUUCUGGAUGGUUUGGGUAAACAGUUGAUUCAAAGGGGGUGUGGCAGAUCCCAUAACUCUUCCGCGAAGGACUCCGGUAGGAUACUCUUGUGCUUCUUCGGCGGUAGGAGGCUAUCGAGGAGGACACACUCAAUCAAUACCAUCUAUGGACGGAUUGCCCACUCCGCUCUACCUCUCAGUAGACGCAGGCUCCAGACAGACUCUCUCUACACAACACCUGAGGGUGGUUGAUAAAUCUGACUCGAUGGUACGAAUAGGACAAUUUGUGGUCACUUUUCUAUACCCUGCAGACAGACACAAAUGAAUUUACUUUAUUGGGAUCCAAUGUCAGCUGGCAAGAGUCUAAGAGGAAAAAUAAAGAGAUUGAAAAUGAAUGUGUGUGUGUGCCUCAAUUUACUCUCUGGUCUUGGGCUCAACAGGGUGUUCCAUCUGAACUUCAGUCACUAUGGAGACAGACCGACUCAUCUUAUAACACACGGUUGAAGAAUUGACUCAAAUUAAAUCAAGCUGCCAGA